rnacentral:rRNA from 1 species
CCUACGGGAGGCAGCAGUGAGGAAUAUUGGUCAAUGGGCGCGAGCCUGAACCAGCCAAGUCGCGUGAGGGAAGACGGCCCUACGGGUUGUAAACCUCUUUUGCCGGGGAGCAACGGGCGCCACGUGUGGCGCCACUGAGAGUACCCGGAGAAAAAGCAUCGGCUAACUCCGUGCCAGCAGCCGCGGUAAUACGGAGGAUGCGAGCGUUAUCCGGAUUUAUUGGGUUUAAAGGGUGCGUAGGGGGAGCGUUAAUUCAGUGGUCAAAUUGAGGGGCUCAACCCCUUCCCGCCAUUGAAACUGGCGCUCUUGAGUGGAAGAGAAGUAUGCGGAACGCGGGGUUGAGCGGGGAAAUGCAUAGAUCUCACGCAGAACCCCGAUUGCGAAGGCAGCAUGCCGGCUUCCGACUGACGCGGAAGCACGAAAGCGUGGGGAUCGAACAGGAUUAGAUACCCGGGUAGUC